rnacentral:lncRNA from 1 species
CAGUGUUGGUUGCUUUGAAAAUCUUUUUUGUUAAUAGUUCUUGGACAACCGUAUUAGCAAAGUGUAGCAAAAUUGUCAAAGUCCAGAGCUAUGCUUAACUUUUAAACAAUAGCAUCUUUACCAGAGGAUGCUUGUUUAAAGUACCAAGGAAACUUUGCAUUUCUGAAAGAAUA